AUAAGGAAAACAAAAACUAGACACCAAUACAUCCACUUCUGAAACACUACAACCAUGUUGAAAUACUUGAAAGUUGCUACUGUUGCUGUUAUAGUUUUAAGCAGCCUUAUUAUGACGGCUUAUGCACAAGGACCAUCAGGACAAGGACAACAACAAAAACCAGAAUGAAAAAAGUGAUUUGAAAGAUUUACCAGAAUUUGAAAAGCGAAACCUCCACACAUGAUGUAAUAUUGGAAUUUAAGCUUAAUAAAUUACUUAAAAGCAA